GAUGAACGCUAGCUACAGGCUUAACACAUGCAAGUCGAGGGGAAACGAUAUUGGAAGCUUGCUUCCGAUAGGCGUCGACCGGCGCACGGGUGAGUAACGCGUAUCCAACCUGCCCAUCACUUGGGGAUAACCUUGCGAAAGUAAGACUAAUACCCAAUGAUAUCUCUAGAAGACAUCUGAAGGAGAUUAAAGAUUUAUCGGUGAUGGAUGGGGAUGCGUCUGAUUAGCUUGUUGGCGGGGUAACGGCCCACCAAGGCGACGAUCAGUAGGGGUUCUGAGGGGAAGGUCCCCCACAUUGGAACUGAGACACGGUCCAAACUCCUACGGGAGGCAGCAGUGAGGAAUAUUGGUCAAUGGGCGAGAGCCUGAACCAGCCAAGUAGCGUGCAGGAUGACGGCCCUAUGGGUUGUAAACUGCUUUUAUAAGGGAAUAAAGUGAGUCUCGUGAGACUUUUUGCAUGUACCUUAUGGAUAAGGACCGGCUAAUUCCGUGCCAGCCGCCGCAGUAA
rnacentral:rRNA from 1 species